rnacentral:rRNA from 1 species
UACAGAGGGUGCAAGCUUUAAUCGGAAUUACUGGGCGUAAAGCGCGCGUAGGCGGCUGUCUAAGUCGGGUGUGAAAGCCCCGGGCUCAACCUGGGAACUGCAUUCGAUACUGGACGGCUAGAGUAUGAGAGAGGGAGGUAGAAUUCCACGUGUAGCGGUGAAAUGCGUAGAUAUGUGGAGGAAUACCGGUGGCGAAGGCGGCCUCCUGGUUCAAUACUGACGCUGAGGUGCGAAAGCGUGGGGAGCAAACAGG